GAUGAAGAACGUAGCGAAAUGCGAUAAGUAGUGUGAAUUGCAGAAUUCAGUGAAUCAUCGAAUCUUUGAACGCACAUUGCGCCCCUUGGUAUUCCAUGGGGCAUGCCUGUUCGAGCGUCAUUGCUGCCCUCAAGCACGGCUUGUGUGUUGGGCCUCCGUCCUCCUCCCGGGGGACGGGCCCGAAAGGCAGCGGCGGCACCGCGUCCGGUCCUCGAGCGUAUGGGGCUUCGUCACCCGCUCUUGUAGGCCCGGCCGGCGCUUGCCGACACAUCAAUCUUUUUUCCAGGUUGACCUCGGAUCAGGUAGGGAUACCCGCUGAACUUAAGCAUAUCAAUAAGCGGAGGA
rnacentral:misc_RNA from 1 species